AUUGAACGCUGGCGGGAUGCCUAACACAUGCAAGUCGAGCGGAGCGGCGGACGGGUGAGUAAUGCCUAGGAAUCUGCCUGGUAGCGGGGGAUAACGUCCGGAAACGGGCGCUAAUACCGCAUACUAUCAGAUGAGCAGAGGUCGGAUUAGCUAGUUGGUGGGGUAACGGCCUACCAAGGCGACGAUCCGUAACUGAUCUGAGAGGAUGAGCAGUCACACGGGAACUAGGACACGGGCCAGAAUCCUACGGGAGGCAGCAGUGGGGAAUAUUGGACAAUGGGGGAAAGCCUGAUCCAGCCAUGCCGCGUGUGCGAAGAAGGCCUUCGGAUUGUAAAGCACUUUAGGUCGGGAGGCGUUACCAGCAGAAUAAGCACCGGCUAACUACGUGCCAGCAGCCGCGGUAAUAC
rnacentral:rRNA from 1 species